UCCGGUUGAUCCUGCCGGACCUGACUGCUAUCGGAUUGGUACUAAGCCAUGCGAGUCAUUGUAGCAAUACAAGGCGGACGGCUCAGUAACACGUAGUCAACCUAACUCGUGGACGUGGAUAACCUCGGGAAACUGAGAAUAAACCACGAUAGAUCAUAGUGCCUGGAAUGGCUUAUGGUCCAAACAGUUUACUGCCAUGGGAUGGGACUGCGGCCUAUCAGCUUGUUGGUGAGGUAAUGGCCCACCAAGGCGAUUACAGGUACGGGCUCUGAGAGGAGAAGCCCGGAGAUGGGUACUGAGACACGGACCCAGGCCCUAUGGGGCGCAGCAGGCGAGAAACCUUAGCAAUGUGCGAAAGCACGACUGGGUCAGUCCGAGUGAUUCCUGAUAAAGGAGUCUUUUGCUUGUCCUAAAAGCACAGGUGAAUAAGGGGUGGGCAAGUCUGGUGUCAGCCGCCGCGGUAAUACCAGCACCUCGAGUGGUCAGGACGUUUAUUGGGCCUAAAGCAUCCGUAGCCGGCUUUGCAAGUCUUCGGUUAAAUCCACCUGCUCAACAGAUGGGCCGCUGGAGAUACUACAAAGCUAGGGAGUGGGAGAGGCAGACGGUAUUCAGUGGGUAGGGGUAAAAUCCUCUGAUCCAUUGAGGACCACCAGUGGCGAAGGCGGUCUGCCAGAACACGUUCGACGGUGAGGGAUGAAAGCUGGGGGAGCAAACCGGAUUAGAUACCCGGGUAGUCCCAGCUGUAAACGAUGCAAACUCGGUGAUGCAUUGGCUUAUGGCCAAUGCAGUGCCGCAGGGAAGCCGUUAAGUUUGCCGCCUGGGAAGUACGGACGCAAGUCUGAAACUUAAAGGAAUUGGCGGGGGAGCACCACAAGGGGUGAAGCCUGCGGUUCAAUUGGACUCAACGCCGGG
rnacentral:rRNA from 1 species